rnacentral:rRNA from 1 species
GAUGAACGCUAGCUACAGGCUUAACACAUGCAAGUCGAGGGGAAACGGCAUUUAGUGCUUGCACCGAAUGGACGUCGACCGGCGCACGGGUGAGUAACGCGUAUCCAACCUACCCAUUACUGUGGGAUAACCUGCCGAAAGGCAGACUAAUACCGCAUAGUCUUCGAUGACGGCAUCAGAUUUGAAGUAAAGAUUUAUCGGUAAUGGAUGGGGAUGCUCCUGAUUAGCUUGGGGGGGGGGUACGCCCCCCCCACGGCUAGAUUAUAAGGGGUCCUAACAUGAAGGUCCCCCCUUUUGUUUUGGAACACAGGGCCCAAU